CCUGCCCUUACUGGCAUUGCAAUUGUGACUGCUGUGUCAUAUGUGUAGGUGGCAGAAAAAAGAGGGGCUUUGUCUAUGCUCCGUGUUCUGACCUAUGAACAUCAGAAUGAUUAGUAGCCUAACACU